rnacentral:rRNA from 1 species
GGCCUGGUCGGGCGGUCCGCCUUCUGGUGAGCACUGUCCUCGCACCGGGUCUCUUCUUCUGGUGAACUAGUGUGCUCUUUAUUGGGUGCGCUAGGGAAUCAGGACUAUUACCUUGAAAAAAUUAGAGUGUUCAAAGCAGGCAAAGCCUGAAUACAUUAGCAUGGAAUAAUAAAAUAGGACGUGUGGUUCUAUUUUGUUGGUUUCUAGAAUCGCCGUA